AGCAGUCGCCACGGUAAUACGUAGGUGGCAAUCGUUGUCCGGAAUUAUUGGGCGUAAAGGGCUCGCAGGCGGUUUCUUAAGUCUGAUGUGAAAGCCCCCGGCUCAACCGGGGAGGGUCAUUGGAAACUGGGAAACUUGAGUGCAGAAGAGGAGAGUGUAAUUCCACGUGUAGCGGUGAAAUGCGUAGGGAUGUGGAGGAACACCUGCGGCGAAAGCGGCUCACUGGACCAUUACUGACGCUGAUGCACGAAAGCUAGGGGAGCAAACAGGAUUAGAUACCCGUGAGUCCCUGUCUCUUAUACA
rnacentral:rRNA from 1 species